AGUUGCAUGUUUGACUUGCUAGGCUGAAAGCAUCUUGAAGGUCUUCAGCAAAAAGAGAGAACAGCUGGUCUCAAUCUUUUCUCUGACAGUUUUUCACAUGC
rnacentral:lncRNA from 1 species